UACGUAGGCAGCAAGCGUUGUUCGGAGUUACUGGGCGUAAAGGGUGCGUAGGCGGUCCUAUAAGUAUGGUGUGAAAUCUCCCGGCUUAACUGGGAGGGUGCGCUAUAGACUGUGGGACUAGAGUGUGGGAGAGGAAAGUGGAAUUCCUGGUGUAGCGGUGAAAUGCGUAGAUAUCAGGAGGAACACCGGUGGUGUAAACGGCUUUCUGGACCAUAACUGACGCUGAGGCACGAAAGCUAGGGGAGCAAACAGG
rnacentral:rRNA from 1 species